GUUGUAUAGUCAAGUAAUUAAGUGCAUGUGGUGGAUGCCUUGGCAGUCAGAGGCGAUGAAAGACGUGAUAGCCUGCGAAAAGCUCCGGGGAGGCGGCAAAUAUCCUUUGAUCCGGAGAUGUCUGAAUGGGGGAACCCACCUACUUUAAGGUAGGUAUUGCAACAUGAAUACAUAGUGUUGCAAGGCGAACGAGGGGAAGUGAAACAUCUCAGUACCCUUAGGAAAAGAAAUCAAUUGAGAUUCCCUCAGUAGCGGCGAGCGAACGGGGAUCAGCCCAUUAAGUUAUGUGUGUUUUAGUGGAACGCUCUGGGAAGUGCGAACGUAGAGGGUGAUAUUCCCGUACACGAAAGGGCACACAUAAUGAUGACGAGUAGGGCGAGGCACGUGAAACCUUGUCUGAAUAUGGGGGGACCAUCCUCCAAGGCUAAAUACUCCUGACUGACCGAUAGUGAACCAGUACCGUGAGGGAAAGGCGAAAAGAACCCCUGUGAGGGGAGUGAAAUAGAUCCUGAAACCGCAUGCAUACAAGCAGUGGGAGCACCUUCGUGGUGUGACUGCGUACCUUUUGUAUAAUGGGUCAGCGACUUAUAUUCAGUAGCGAGGUUAACCGUAUAGGGGAGCCGUAGAGAAAUCGAGUCUUAAUAGGGCGUUUAGUUGCUGGGUAUAGACCCGAAACCAGGCGAUCUAUCCAUGAGCAGGUUGAAGGUUGGGUAACACUAACUGGAGGACCGAACCCACUGUCGUUGAAAAGCCAGGGGAUGACUUGUGGAUAGGGGUGAAAGGCUAAUCAAGCCUGGUGAUAGCUGGUUCUCCCCGAAAGCUAUUUAGGUAGCGCCUCGGACGAAUACCAUAGGGGGUAGAGCACUGUUUCGGCUAGGGGGUCAUCCCGACUUACCAAACCGAUGCAAACUCCGAAUACCUAUGAGUACUAUCCGGGAGACAGACUGCGGGUGCUAACGUCCGUAGUCAAGAGGAAAACAAUCCAGACCGCCAGCUAAGGCCCCAAAAUCAUAGUUAAGUGGGAAACGAUGUGGGAAGGCAUAGACAGCUAGGAGGUUGGCUUAGAAGCAGCCACCCUUUAAAGAAAGCGUAAUAGCUCACUAGUCGAGUCGGCCUGCGCGGAAGAUGUAACGGGGCUAAAACUAUGUGCCGAAGCUGCGGAUGUAUACUUUGUAUACGUGGUAGGGGAGCGUUCUGUAAGCCGAUGAAGGUGUGUUGAGAAGCAUGCUGGAGGUAUCAGAAGUGCGAAUGCUGACGUGAGUAACGACAAAACGGGUGAAAAACCCGUUCGCCGAAAGACCAAGGGUUCCAGUCCAACGUUAAUCGGGGCUGGGUGAGUCGACCCCUAAGGCGAGGCCGAAAGGCGUAGUCGAUGGGAAAAUGGUUAAUAUUCCAUUACUUCUGUGUAAUGCGAUGAGAGGACGGAGAAGGCUAAAUCAGCCUGGCGUUGGUUGUCCAGGUGAAAGGAUGUAGGCAUGUAUCUUAGGCAAAUCCGGGGUACUCUAUGCUGAGAUCUGAUAGCAAGCUGUACUUGUACAGCGAAGUGGUUGAUGCCAUGCUUCCAGGAAAAGUCUCUAAGCUUCAGUUACACAGGAAUCGUACCCGAAACCGACACAGGUGGUCAGGUCGAGUAGACCAAGGCGCUUGAGAGAACUCUGCUGAAGGAACUAGGCAAAAUGGUACCGUAACUUCGGGAGAAGGUACGCUGUUGUUGGUGAUGGAACUCGCUUCCUGAGCUGACGACAGCCGCAGAAACCAGGCCGCUGCAACUGUUUAUUAAAAACAUAGCACUCUGCAAACACGAAAGUGGACGUAUAGGGUGUGAUGCCUGCCCGGUGCUGGAAGGUUAAUUGAUGGGGUUAGCGUAAGCGAAGCUCUUGAUCGAAGCCCCAGUAAACGGCGGCCGUAACUAUAACGGUCCUAAGGUAGCGAAAUUCCUUGUCGGGUAAGUUCCGACCUGCACGAAUGGCAUAAUGAUGGCGGCGCUGUCUCCAGCAGAGGCUCAGUGAAAUCGAAAUCGCUGUGAAGAUGCAGUGUACCCGCGGCUAGACGGAAAGACCCCGUGAACCUUUACUGCAGCUUGACACUGAACUUUGACCUUACUUGUGUAGGAUAGGUGGGAGGCUUUGAAGCUGGAACGCUAGUUCCAGUGGAGCCGUCCUUGAAAUACCACCCUGGUAAUGUUGAGGUUCUAACUCUGUCCCGUGAUCCGGGACGAGGACCGUGUCUGGUGGGUAGUUUGACUGGGGCGGUCUCCUCCUAAAGAGUAACGGAGGAGUACGAAGGUGCGCUCAGCGUGGUCGGAAAUCACGCGUAGAGUAUAAAGGCAAAAGCGCGCUUAACUGCGAGACCCACAAGUCGAGCAGGUACGAAAGUAGGUCUUAGUGAUCCGGUGGUUCUGUAUGGAAGGGCCAUCGCUCAACGGAUAAAAGGUACUCUGGGGAUAACAGGCUGAUACCGCCCAAGAGUUCAUAUCGACGGCGGUGUUUGGCACCUCGAUGUCGGCUCAUCUCAUCCUGGGGCUGAAGCAGGUCCCAAGGGUAUGGCUGUUCGCCAUUUAAAGAGGUACGCGAGCUGGGUUUAGAACGUCGUGAGACAGUUCGGUCCCUAUCUACCGUGGGCGCUGGAAAUUUGAGAGGAUCUGCUCCUAGUACGAGAGGACCAGAGUGGACGAACCUCUGGUGUACCGGUUGUGACGCCAGUCGCAUCGCCGGGUAGCUAUGUUCGGAAGGGAUAACCGCUGAAAGCAUCUAAGCGGGAAGCCUACCUCAAGAUAAGAUUUCCCUAGGACUUUAUGUCCUCUAAAGAGCCGUUCGAGACCAGGACGUUGAUAGGUUGGAUGUGGAAGCAUAGUGAUAUGUGAAGCUGACCAAUACUAAUUGCUCGUGAGGCUUGACUAUACAACACCCAAGCAGUUG
rnacentral:rRNA from 1 species